AGCGCAUGCGUCUCGAGUUUGGUUUGAGUGUGUAACUCAGCCCACAAAGAGUGUUAGGACAUACGGCUCUCUGUGUGAAUUACUCUACCUCUUUUCUUUUACGGUUAUUGUUUGUGGUUGAGGAGUAUCACGGAAACUUAUCGACCGACGCCUAUGCUGGACCAGGGAGUCGGAUCUCCACACUGAUCGCCACCGGGCCAGAGCGACGCAAAGCCAACAGCGAUGACUCAUCAUAGUACAAGAGGACUUUAAGAGAGUGCAAUUACCUGACAUGGCAGCAGAGGGCGCACUCGGCUCACCAUAGCCGAACUCAUUGACGGCCAGCACUCGGAACUGGUAGCUGAUGCCCUGGCGGAGGCGGUCCAGACUCACUGAGUGAGAGGUGCUUGUGGGAGGCAGGUGUCGCACAAAGAUGCUGACAUCCAGGGGUGAGCAGCUCAUUCAUUCUCUAACAUAAAAUGUUGUGCAUUAUAACAGUGAUGACAUGGGCCCGGCAGUUAUAUGAAUCUAUCCCAGCAAGUAAAUGAUCAGUAAAAGACAUAAUUUGUUAGGUGUCAUCAUGUUUAUCUAAAGGAAUACAUCACCCAAAAAUGAAAAUGUUUACUCAUCCUCAUGUUAUUUUCAAAACGUACAAAAAUGUUUUUCAGUGGAACUCAUAUUUGAAAGAAUUUACUGGUUGCUCUUAUCUAUGCAAUUACAAUGGAUGGGGACAAGAGCUUUCAAGCUUCAAAAAGGAACCAUAAAAGUAUAAUGCUCUUUUCCAUACAGUGCAAGUGAAUAAUGACCAUAAGUGUCAAUGGAAAAGAGCAGCUUGGAUAUCUGCUAAAUAUCUCCUUUUGUGUUCCACAGAAGAAAGAAACCCAUAUGGGUUUGAAAAGACAUUAAAGCGAUAAAAUAAAAAUCUUAAAACAUAAAAGCAGCUAUAUCUAUUUAUAAUGUGUGAAAAAAAAUAUGAUAAAGACAACAUGUUUGCAAAAUUAAUUAACAGGCUUUUAUAUUGUCUUUUUACUGAAGCCAAUUCUUAAUUUUAUCUGGAGGAAAAUGCAACAUAAAUACAAACUAUUUAAAGUAUGCACAUUGCAAGGAAGGAGAUAUAUAUAUAUAUAUUCUCUAAUAAUAUACAGUAUGAAACCAUAUGCAGAUUUGGUUUAUUUCUUACUGGUAAGGGGCAGUCACACAAGGCUUUGGGAACACAAUUUUUUUUUUUGGACAACACUAUGAACCAGGAUAUGAUGUCACGUGGGAGGGCAUCUGGUGUUGUGAUGAAUCAGGCUUAGACACAGAGGUAAGGUCCAUUAGCAGAGGUUUUAACGAAAACAGUAGUCGAGUCAGGGAAGAGUAAUAACCAGGUAAGCAGUCAAGAACACAGUUCAAACAAAUCCAAAUCAAGAGGAGCAGAGAAUAAUCCAAGGAAAAAUACAAUGGUAAUACACAGGAAAACAGGCUGGUGAUAAACACUCAGAAAUGACAACUGCAAUGAGAUUGGCAAGACUUUGCAAAGAUACAUAGAAUGAGUGGGGUAUAAAUAGCCAGAGAGAGUAAUCAGCCUAAUAAGGAACAGGUGUUGUGUGAGAGUCAAUCUUCAGGUUAGGAGGACCUCUGGUGGUGGAGAGCAGAACUGGGUGCAGAUGUGACAGGUGUACUUAAACAAUGAAUCACAAAUAACAAACAAUAUUUAAUUAAAAGUGUUAAAAUAUAUUGUCUACUCACUUUCCUGCAACAAUAAAUCUCAGCUUUGAAAUAAGUAUCCUGUGAAUUGAGCCAAGAGGUCUCCUAUCACGCAUCCUCUUGACGUACAAAUUCAUGGUUCAGAGUUCACCAAGCUUGAAUUUUGGUACGCAGCGUAGUACGAUUUUUUUCGCAUGAGCUUGCGUUUCCGCUGUGCUGCAUUCAGAUGCAUUUGAAUGGGAGUGAAUGGAGCGCAAAGUGUAGUGUGACUGCCCCUUUAGUUGUCUAAAAUAAUCACUUUUAAUCUCAGGAUUUUAGAAUGAAACAAUUGUAAUGUUACAUGUUGCAAUUGUUGUUAACUUUUGUUUUAAGUUAUUAAUUUAUUAAUAAUGUUUUUAUUUUUUUAUUUAGUCUCACUUCACUUGUACAAUUUUUGUGGACCCCCUAGUGCACCCAUGCGACCCCAGUUUAAAAACCCUUCAUUUGUGUCACUUCUGUUCAAUUCUAAAAUCUACUAAAGCAAUAUGAAAAUAAAUGCACUGAUAUUAACAAAUAAUGUAGCAUUUUUCAUGUCACUUCUUUUUUUAUUUAUUCCCUUUUCUCCCAAUAUGGAAUGCCCAAUUCCCACUACUUAGUAGGUCCUCGUGGUGGCACAGUUACUCACCUCAAUCCGGGUGGUGGAGGACAAGUCUCAGUUGCCUCCGCUUCUGAGACAGUCAAUCCGCGCAUCUUAUCACGUGGCUCAUUGUGCAUGACACCUCGGAGACUCACAGCAUGUAGAGGCUCAUGCUACUCUCUGCGAUCCACGCACAACUUACCACAC